CAGUACCGCGGGAAUACGGAGGGUGCAAGCGUUAUCCGGAUUUAUUGGGUUUAAAGGGUCCGUAGGCGGAUCUGUAAGUCAGUGGUGAAAUCUCACAGCUUAACUGUGAAACUGCCAUUGAUACUGCAGGUCUUGAGUAAAUUUGAAGUGGCUGGAAUAAGUAGUGUAGCGGUGAAAUGCAUAGAUAUUACUUAGAACACCAAUUGCGAAGGCAGGUCACUAAGAUUUAACUGACGCUGAUGGACGAAAGCGUGGGGAGCGAACAGGAUUAGAGACCCCUGUAGUCCCUGUCUCUUAUACA
rnacentral:rRNA from 1 species